AUGAAUCAGGGCCAGCUCCAGGUGCUGCCCCACAGGUUUUGGUCCGAGUCUCAGUCACUGUGGUAUGUCUUCAGCAGCAGGACCAAGGUCAUUGUCACAGGUCAGCCCGCGGUGACCCCCUCGGUCAUUCUGUUCCCACCCUCCUCUGAGGAACUCAAGGACAACAAGGCCACCUUGGUGUGUCUGAUCAAUAACUUCUACCCCAGCACUGUGAAGGUGAACUGGAAGGCCGAUGGCACCCCCAUCACCCAGGGUGUGGACACCACCCAGCCCUCCAAACAGCAACAACAAGUACACAGCCAGCAGCUUCCUCAGCCUGUCAGUUGAUCAGUGGAAAUCCUACCAGAGAGUCACCUGCCAGGUCACGCACGAGGGCCAAGCCGUGGAGAAGAGCCUGGCCCCUGCAGAAUGUUCUUAG